GUAGAAAAUAGGUAACAUCGUGAAAUAUGAACUUAUGAACAUUGAUUUUAGGGGUUCAGAUCAGUAAUCAGUUGUAUCCUUAUUAUGUUACCAAUUGAGAUUUAAGCAAUAUGUAUAAGUUCAUGUUAUCUAACUCAGAUGCUCACUGCAAUUUAAGAGCUUAGUUCACUUCUAUUCUUGUUGUGUUGCAAAACUGGACCAUUCAAUAGUUUUAUCAAGUUUCUCUGAAGCCCUGGUCUUCUCCUUAUUUCAUUGUCAGCCUUCAGUCUCUUUCUGUUAUCAUAUGGUUGGGAAAUUGUGGUCAAGAUUUUGUUAAAGCAGCAUUGCUACCAAAAACAACUCAGAUUAACUGCAGUUUCAUCACUUCUUAAUGAUGAAUCUAAUCUCUGGAAUCUUAAAUACAAUUGAUAUUAGCAUCUACUCUGUUUUGUGUAUUGUCAUUAUUUGGAAAAUGGUUAUUAGAAUAGCAGUAGCUCUUUGAUUGAGUUUUUACCUAUUU
rnacentral:misc_RNA from 1 species